rnacentral:misc_RNA from 1 species
GAUGAAGAACGCAGCGAAAUGCGAUACGUAAUGUGAAUUGCAGAAUUCAGUGAAUCAUCGAAUCUUUGAACGCACAUUGCGCCUGCCAGCACUCUGGCAGGCAUGCCUGUUCGAGCGUCAUUUCAACCAUCAAGCCCUAGGCUUGCGUUGGAGCCCUGCGGCUGCCGCAGGCCCCUAAAAGCAGUGGCGGGCUCGCUAUCACACCGAGUGCAGCAGAUUACUCUUCGCUCAGGGCGUGUGGCGGGUUCCAGCCGUGAAACCCCCUACUUCUCAAGGUUGACCUCGGAUCAGGUAGGAAUACCCGCUGAACUUAAGCAUAUCAAUAAGCGGAGGA